UGAGUUUGAUCAUGGCUCAGGAUGAACGCUGGCGGCGUGCUUAACACAUGCAAGUCGAACGAAGCACCUCUAAUCGAAGAUUGAGAAAGCUUGCUUUUGAUUGAUUCACCUUGAGGUGACUGAGUGGCGGACGGGUGAGUAACGCGUGGGUAACCUACCCUAUACAGGGGGAUAACAGUUGGAAACGACUGCUAAUACCGCAUAAGCGCACAAGACCGCAUGGUCUAGUGUGAAAAACUCCGGUGGUAUAGGAUGGACCCGCGUCUGAUUAGCUAGUUGGUGAGGUAACGGCUCACCAAGGCGACGAUCAGUAGCCGACCUGAGAGGGUGACCGGCCACAUUGGGACUGAGACACGGCCCAAACUCC
rnacentral:rRNA from 1 species